rnacentral:rRNA from 1 species
UACGUAGGGUGCAGGCGUUAAUCGGAAUUACUGGGCGUAAAGCGUGCGCAGGCGGUUAUGUAAGACAGAUGUGAAAUGCCCGGGCUUAACCUGGGAACUGCAUUUGUGACUGCAUGGCUAGAGUUUGGCAGAGGGGGGUAGAAUUCCACGUGUAGCAGUGAAAUGCGUAGAUAUGUGGAGGAACACCGAUGGCGAAGGCAGCCCCCUGGGUCAAGACUGACGCUCAUGCACGAAAGCGUGGGGAGCAAACAGG